rnacentral:rRNA from 1 species
UACGUAGGGUGCAAGCGUUAAUCGGAAUUACUGGGCGUAAAGCGUGCGCAGGCGGUUUUGUAAGUCUGUCGUGAAAUCCCCGGGCUCAACCUGGGAAUGGCGAUGGAGACUGCAAGGCUAGAAUCUGGCAGAGGGGGGGUAGAAUUCCACGUGUAGCAGUGAAAUGCGUAGAGAUGUGGAGGAACACCGGUGGCGAAGGCGGCAUCCUGGACCGGUAUUGACGCUGAGGGCGCGAAAAG